UCGAGAAUCAUUCACAAUGGACGAAAGUCUGAUGGUGCAACGCCGCGUGGAGGAUGACGGCCCUCGGGUUGUAAACUCCUGUCAUCUGGGAGUAAGCCUUGUUCGUUAAUAGCGUGCAAGGUUGAUAGUACCAGAAGAGGAAGGGACGGCUAACUUCGUGCCAGCAGCCGCGGUAAUACGAAGGUCCCAAGCGUUGUUCGGAAUCACUGGGCGUAAAGAGUAUGUAGGCGGCAAGGAAAGUCAGAUGUGAAAUCUCUGGGCUCAACCCGGAAACUGCAUCCGAUACUCCCUUGCUAGAGUAAUGGAGGGGUAGCUGGAAUUCUCGGUGUAGCAGUGAAAUGCGUAGAUAUCGAGAGGAACACUCGUGGCGAAGGCGAGCUACUGGACAUUUACUGACGCUGAGAUACGAAGGCCAGGGUAGCGAAAGGGAUUAGAUACCCCCGUAGUCC
rnacentral:rRNA from 1 species